AUUGAACGCUGGCGGCGGGCUUAACACAUGCAAGUCGAGCGGGGGAGGUUGCUUCGGUAACCGACCUAGCGGCGGGCGGGUGAGUAAUACUUAGGAAUCUGCCUAUUAAUGGGGGACAACAUCUCGAAAGGGAUGCUAAUACCGCAUACGCCCUACGGGGGAAAGCAGGGGAUCACUUGUGACCUUGCGUUAAUAGAUGAGCCUAAGUCCGAUUAGCUAGUUGGUGGGGUAAAGGCCUACCAAGGCGACGAUCUGUAGCGGGUCUGAGAGGAUGAUCCGCCACACUGGGACUGAGACACGGCCCAGACUCCUACGGGAGGCAGCAGUGGGGAAUAUUGGACAAUGGGGGGAACCCUGAUCCAGCCAUGCCGCGUGUGUGAAGAAGGCCUUAUGGUUGUAAAGCACUUUAAGCGAGGAGGAGGCUCUUUUGGUUAAUACCCAAGAUGAGUGGACGUUACUCGCAGAAUAAGCACCGGCUAACUCUGUGCCAGCAGCCGCAGUAACAC
rnacentral:rRNA from 1 species